CUCUCUCUUUCUUUCUUUUCUCUUUUCUUUCCAUCUUUUUUUCCUCUCUCUCUCUCUAGCUGUAUGAAGGAAGGUUGGUGGAGUUGGUGCUCGUGGCUGGGAGGAAGAUGGAGAAUAGAGGAAAGUGGUGAUGGUGCUGUUGGAGCUGAGAAGAGGUUUCGGCAGUGGGGAAAUUGGUUGUUGGAGCUUCAAAACCUGAGGAUUAAAGUCCUAACUUGGAAUUGACCGCGUACAAACCUAAUUGAGGGUAAAACUGUCACGCCCGGGUACCAGCAG